GGGGCCGUAGCUCAGCAAGGCUAGAGCGGCCGGCUCCAGACCGGCAGGUCGAGGGUUCAAGUCCCUCCGGCCCCACCA
rnacentral:tRNA from 2 species